rnacentral:rRNA from 1 species
UACGGGGGGAGCAAGCGUUGUUCGGAUUUACUGGGCGUAAAGGGCGCGUAGGCGGCCACCGCAAGUCGACUGUGAAAUCUCCGGGCUUAACCCGGAAAGGUCAGCCGAUACUGCGGGGCUAGAGUGCAGAAGGGGCAACUGGAAUUCUCGGUGUAGCGGUGAAAUGCGUAGAUAUCGAGAGGAACACCUGCGGCGAAGGCGAGUUGCUGGGCUGACACUGACGCUGAAGCGCGAAAGCGUGGGGAGCAAACGGG